rnacentral:rRNA from 1 species
UACAGAGGGUGCAAGCGUUGUUCGGAAUUAUUGGGCGUAAAGCGCGUGUAGGCGGCUUGUUAAGUCGGGUGUGAAAGCCCUCAGCUCAACUGAGGAAGGGCGCCCGAAACUGGCGAGCUUGAGUGUCGGAGAGGAUGGCGGAAUACCCCAAGUAGAGGUGAAAUUCGUAGAUAUGGGGUGGAACACCGGUGGCGAAGGCG